GUUGUGUAAUUUAAAAAAAAUAUCAAGCUGUGACCUUGA
rnacentral:tRNA from 1 species